UCGAGGAUCUUCGGCAAUGGGCGCAAGCCUGACCGAGCGACGCCGCGUGUGCGAUGAAGGCCUUCGGGUUGUAAAGCACUGUCGAGGGGGAGGAAGCCGCAAGGUUGACCUAUCCCUGGAGGAAGCACGGGCUAAGUUCGUGCCAGCAGCCGCGGUAAGACGAACCGUGCGAACGUUGUUCGGAAUCACUGGGCUUAAAGGGCGCGUAGGCGGACCACCAAGUCCGGGGUGAAAUCCUUCGGCUUAACCGGAGAAUUGCCUGGGAUACUGGUGGUCUUGAGGGAGGUAGGGGCACGCGGAACUUCCGGUGGAGCGGUGAAAUGCGUUGAUAUCGGAAGGAACGCCGGUGGCGAAAGCGGCGUGCUGGCCCUCUUCUGACGCUGAGGCGCGAAAGCCAGGGGAGCGAACGG
rnacentral:rRNA from 1 species